rnacentral:rRNA from 1 species
ACUCAAAGGAAUAGACGGGGGCCCGCACAAGCGGUGGAACAUGUGGUUUAAUUCGAUGCAACGCGAAGAACCUUACCUGGGCUUGACAUCUAGGGAACCUCUGGGAAACCAGGGGGUGCCGCAAGGAACCCUAAGACAGGUGGUGCACGGUUGUCGUCAGCUCGUGUCGUGAGAUGUUGGGUUAAGUCCCGCAACGAGCGCAACCCUCGUGGUCUGUUGUUACAGGUCUUCGGACGCUGAACCCUCAGGCCAGACUGCCGGUGAUAAACCGGAGGAAGGUGGGGAUGACGUCAAAUCAUCACGCCCCUUAUGUCCAGGGCUACACACGUGUUACAAUGGGAAUAGGACAAUGGGUGGCUUGGCAGCGAUGUCCGGCAAAUCCCCAAAACCUACCCUCAGUUCGGAUCGGAGUCUGCAACUCGACUCCGUGAAGUCGGAAUCGCUAGUAAACGCAGAUCAGCACGCUGCGUUGAAUACGUUCCCGGGCCUUGCACACACCGCCCGU